UACGGGGGGGGCAAGCGUUGUUCGGAAUUACUGGGCGUAAAGGGCUCGUAGGCGGCCAACUAAGUCAGACGUGAAAUCCCUCGGCUUAACCGGGGAACUGCGUCUGAUACUGGAUGGCUCGAGUUUGGGAGAGGGAUGCGGAAUUCCAGGUGUAGUGGUGAAAUGCGUAGAUAUCUGGAGGAACACCGGUGGCGAAGGCGGCAUCCUGGACCAACACUGACGCUGAUGAGCGAAAGCCAGGGGAGCAAACGGG
rnacentral:rRNA from 1 species